AGAGUUUGAUCCUGGCUCAGAUUGAACGCUGGCGGCAGGCCUAACACAUGCAAGUCGAGCGGUAGCACAGAGAGCUUGCUCUCGGGUGACGAGCGGCGGACGGGUGAGUAAUGUCUGGGAAACUGCCUGAUGGAGGGGGAUAACUACUGGAAACGGUAGCUAAUACCGCAUAACGUCGCAAGACCAAAGUGGGGGACCUUCGGGCCUCAUGCCAUCAGAUGUGCCCAGAUGGGAUUAGCUAGUAGGUGGGGUAACGGCUCACCUAGGCGACGAUCCCUAGCUGGUCUGAGAGGAUGACCAGCCACACUGGAACUGAGACACGGUCCAGACUCCUACGGGAGGCAGCAGUGGGGAAUAUUGCACAAUGGGCGCAAGCCUGAUGCAGCCAUGCCGCGUGUGUGAAGAAGGCCUUCGGGUUGUAAAGCACUUUCAGCGGGGAGGAAGGCGUUAAGGUUAAUAACCUUGGCGAUUGACGUUACCCGCAGAAGAAGCACCGGCUAACUCCGUGCCAGCAGCCGCGGUAAUACGGAGGGUGCAAGCGUUAAUCGGAAUUACUGGGCGUAAAGCGCACGCAGGCGGUCUGUCAAGUCGGAUGUGAAAUCCCCGGGCUCAACCUGGGAACUGCAUUCGAAACUGGCAGGCUAGAGUCUUGUAGAGGGGGGUAGAAUUCCAGGUGUAGCGGUGAAAUGCGUAGAGAUCUGGAGGAAUACCGGUGGCGAAGGCGGCCCCCUGGACAAAGACUGACGCUCAGGUGCGAAAGCGUGGGGAGCAAACAGGAUUAGAUACCCUGGUAGUCCACGCUGUAAACGAUGUCGAUUUGGAGGUUGUGCCCUUGAGGCGUGGCUUCCGGAGCUAACGCGUUAAAUCGACCGCCUGGGGAGUACGGCCGCAAGGUUAAAACUCAAAUGAAUUGACGGGGGCCCGCACAAGCGGUGGAGCAUGUGGUUUAAUUCGAUGCAACGCGAAGAACCUUACCUGGUCUUGACAUCCACAGAACUUUCCAGAGAUGGAUUGGUGCCUUCGGGAACUGUGAGACAGGUGCUGCAUGGCUGUCGUCAGCUCGUGUUGUGAAAUGUUGGGUUAAGUCCCGCAACGAGCGCAACCCUUAUCCUUUGUUGCCAGCGGUUAGGCCGGGAACUCAAAGGAGACUGCCAGUGAUAAACUGGAGGAAGGUGGGGAUGACGUCAAGUCAUCAUGGCCCUUACGACCAGGGCUACACACGUGCUACAAUGGCAUAUACAAAGAGAAGCGACCUCGCGAGAGCAAGCGGACCUCAUAAAGUAUGUCGUAGUCCGGAUUGGAGUCUGCAACUCGACUCCAUGAAGUCGGAAUCGCUAGUAAUCGUAGAUCAGAAUGCUACGGUGAAUACGUUCCCGGGCCUUGUACACACCGCCCGUCACACCAUGGGAGUGGGUUGCAAAAGAAGUAGGUAGCUUAACCUUCGGGAGGGCGCUUACCACUUUGUGAUUCAUGACUGGGGUGAAGUCGUAACAAGGUAACC
rnacentral:rRNA from 1 species